UCCUUAGCCACCCAUAUUUUCAGAUCGGACGACUAAUCGCGAUUAAUUGUGAUUAGUCAUCCUUAUCGUAACUGCGUGCUUGAUAUGUUUCGUCGAUUCGAUCAGGUCGAUCAGAAACCUUAUCGUCCGAUUAGUCACGAUUAGUCGUCCGAUAAGUGUAGCAGGA
rnacentral:pre_miRNA from 1 species